UACGGGGGAGGCAAGCGUUGUUCGGAUUUACUGGGCGUAAAGGGUGCGUAGGCGGUCUCGCAAGUCUGGCGUGAAAGCCCAAAGGCUCGAGCCUUGGAAGUGCGCUCGAAACGGCGAGGCUGGAGUGCCGGAGGGGAGAGUGGAAUCCUGGUGUAGCGGUGAAAUGCGCAGAUAUCAGGAGGAACACCAAUUGCAAAGGCAGCUCGCUGGGACGUUACUGACGCUGAGACGCGAAAGCGUGGGGAGCAAACAGG
rnacentral:rRNA from 1 species